AAGGCCAGCCACUUCCUUUCAAUCCCGGGUGUGCCUUCUCUGGUUUUCUCCGUUGGAGGGCUUUUCUCUCUGGCCUAACUUCUAGUGACUACAGAAACCUGUAAAAUUCCAGUGCAGCCAACGCUUCUCUCUCUCCUUCCCUCGGAGCUGUCACAGAGGAUAAUCAGGACAGCAAAGUGUUCUGGCAGCCAAGCAAAGACUGUUUUUAAGGAUAGAGAGAACAACUCUGGAAAAGGCUGCCAACAUCUGAAGGAAGGAUGACGUUUGCUGCUGUUUACUCUUUUUAUCCUGUGGGUGUAGCGGAGAGUUCUAGAAGCUGCAUAGAAGAGAGCACGAUGAUUGGUGCAGAAGCAAAUGCAGAAAUCCAUCUACUUCCCAGGCAGGAAGAAAUCAGAGAUGCCAGGGGCUGUAAAACAGGCCAUUGUCUUUCUGUAUUUUCUCUGUUUUUGUGAAAGGUCAGGAAGAUUAUGGAAAUGAAGACAUCAUUGAAGGGAAAUAAUGAUUACAACAAUAUCAAAAUGUACUGGAAAACAAGAAAAAAUAGUAUGGUUUGAUAAUAAAGAUCGAGAAAUAAAAA